UACGGGGGGGGCGAGCGUUGUUCGGAAUUACUGGGCGUAAAGGGCUCGUAGGUGGCCUUCUAAGUCAGACGUGAAAUCCCUCGGCUCAACCGGGGAACUGCGUCUGAGACUGGGAGGCUUGAAUCCGGGAGAGGGACGUGGAAUUCCAGGUGUAGCGGUGAAAUGCGUAGAUAUCUGGAGGAACACCGGUGGCGAAGGCGGCGUCCUGGACCGGUAUUGACACUGAGGAGCGAAAGCCAGGGGAGCAAACGGG
rnacentral:rRNA from 1 species